UACGGAAGGCAGCAGUGGGGAAGUAUUGCACAAUGGGCGCAAGCCUGAUGCAGCCAUGCCGCGUGUAUGAAGAAGGCCUUCGGGUUGUAAAGUACUUUCAGUCGUGAGGAAGGUGUUAAGGUUAAUAACCUUAGCAAUUGACGUUAGCGACAGAAGAAGCACCGGCUAACUCCGUGCCAGCAGCCGCGGUAAUACGGAGGGUGCGAGCGUUAAUCGGAAUUACUGGGCGUAAAGGGCACGCAGGCGGUUAAUUAAGUUGGAUGUGAAAUCCCCGGGCUUAACCUGGGAAUGGCAUUCAAGACUGGUUAGCUGAGUCUUGUAGAGGGGGUAGAAUUCCAUGUGUAGCGGUGAAAUGCGUAGAGAUGUGGAGGAAUACCGGUGGCGAAGGCGGCCCCCUGGACAAAGACUGACGCUCAUGUGCGAAAGCGUGGGGAGCAAACAGGGAUUAGAUACC
rnacentral:rRNA from 1 species